AGAGUUUGAUCAUGGCUCAGAUGAACGCUGGCGGCGUGCCUAAUACAUGCAAGUCGAACGAACUCCCGUUAAUUGAUUAUGACGUACUUGUACUGAUUGAGAUUUUAACACGAAGUGAGUGGCGGACGGGUGAGUAACACGUGGGUAACCUGCCCAGAAGUAGGGGAUAACACCUGGAAACAGAUGCUAAUACCGUAUAACAGAGAAAACCGCAUGGUUUUCUUUUAAAAGAUGGCUCUGCUAUCACUUUUGGAUGGACCCGCGGCGUAUUAGCUAGUUGGUGAGGUAAAGGCUCACCAAGGCAGUGAUACGUAGCCGACCUGAGAGGGUAAUCGGCCACAUUGGGACUGAGACACGGCCCGGACUCCUACGGGAGGCAGCAGUAGGGAAUCUUCCACAAUGAACGCAAGUCUGAUGGAGCAACGCCGCGUGAGUGAAGAAGGGUUUCGGCUCGUAAAGCUCUGUUGUUAAAGAAGAACGUGGGUAAGAGUAACUGUUUACCCAGUGACGGUAUUUAACCAGAAAGCCACGGCUAACUACGUGCCAGCAGCCGCGGUAAUACGUAGGUGGCAAGCGUUAUCCGGAUUUAUUGGGCGUAAAGCGAGCGCAGGCGGUCUUUUAAGUCUAAUGUGAAAGCCUUCGGCUCAACCGAAGAAGUGCAUUGGAAACUGGGAGACUUGAGUGCAGAAGAGGACAGUGGAACUCCAUGUGUAGCGGUGAAAUGCGUAGAUAUAUGGAAGAACACCAGUGGCGAAGGCGGCUGUCUGGUCUGCAACUGACGCUGAGGCUCGAAAGCAUGGGUAGCGAACAGGAUUAGAUACCCUGGUAGUCCAUGCCGUAAACGAUGAUUACUAAGUGUUGGAGGGUUUCCGCCCUUCAGUGCUGCAGCU
rnacentral:rRNA from 1 species